CGGGGUGAGAGCCGUUCAUCGUUUACUGUGAGAAAAUUAAAGUGUUCAAAGCAGGCUUAUGCCGUUGAAUAUAUUAGCAUGGAAUAAUAAGAUAGGACUUUGGUACUAUUUUGUUGGUUUGAGAACCAAGGUAAUGAUCAAUAGGGACAGUUGGGGGUAUUCGUAUUCAGUUGUCAGAGGUGAAAUUCUUAGAUUUCCGGAAGACGAACUACUGCGAAAGCAUUUACCAAGGAUGUUUUCAUUAAUCAAGAACGAAAGUAUGGGGAUCGAAGAUGAUUAGAUACCAUCGUAGUCUAUACCAUAAACUAUGCCGACUCAGGAUGGGCGGGUGCAUUUUUGCCUC
rnacentral:rRNA from 1 species